AGAGUUCGAUCCUGGCUCAGGAUGAACGCUGGCGGCGCGCCUAACACAUGCAAGUCGAACGAUUAAAGCACCUUCGGGUGUGUAUAAAGUGGCGAACGGCUGAGUAACACGUGGGCAACCUGCCCCUCUCAUUGGGAUAGCCACGGGAAACCGUGGAUAAUACCGAAUACUUCGGGACUUCCGCAUGGAAGACUCGAGAAAGCUCCGGCGGAGAGGGAUGGGCCCGCGGCCUGUUAGCUUGUUGGUGGGGUAACGGCCUACCAAGGCAAUGAUGGGUAGCUGGGUUGAGAGACCGACCAGCCAGAUUGGGACUGAGACACGGCCCAGACUCCUACGGGAGGCAGCAGUGGGGAAUCUUGCACAAUGGGCGAAAGCCUGAUGCAGCGACGCCGCGUGCGGGAUGAAGGCCUUCGGGUUGUAAACCGCUUUCAGCAGGGACGAGGCGAAAGUGACGGUACCUGCAGAAGAAGCCCCGGCUAACUACGUGCCAGCAGCCGCGGUAAUACGUAGGGGGCAAGCGUUAUCCGGAUUCAUUGGGCGUAAAGCGCUCGUAGGCGGUCUGUUAGGUCGGGAGUUAAAUCCGGGGGCUCAACCCCCGUUCGCUCCCGAUACCGGCAGACUUGAGUUUGGUAGGGGAAGGUGGAAUUCCUAGUGUAGCGGUGGAAUGCGCAGAUAUUAGGAAGAACACCAGUGGCGAAGGCGGCCUUCUGGGCCAUAACUGACGCUGAGGAGCGAAAGCUAGGGGAGCAAACAGGAUUAGAUACCCUGGUAGUCCUAGCCGUAAACGAUGGACACUAGGUGUGGGGGAAUAUUUCUUCCGUGCCGCAGCUAACGCAUUAAGUGUCCCGCCUGGGGAGUACGGCCGCAAGGCUAAAACUCAAAGGAAUUGACGGGGGCCC
rnacentral:rRNA from 2 species